UCAACAUCCACGCUACACGAUUAUUCGAAUUAUUUUAAGGAAUUCAUUCUCACCGCCGCGCAUUCCUACUAUUCCGACAGCAUAACCGCGUUGAUAGGCAAAAAACGCAACAAGAUAUCAAUACACAUUAGCUCCUGCUAUAACGUUCGCUUCCGACCGCAUACAAAGAAUUCCUCUAGCAACGUUACGUCGAUAUGAUGCCCUAAUGAAUUAACUGUAGCAUUAUUCAAACUGGAUCAAAUUUCUACUAAAAAAAGGAAAAAGUGUUCAAUGUGCAUAUAUUUCUCUGUUGGUGCCAGAACCUUUUCAUUUAACGAUGACAAUCGAUUCAAAUGACCUUCAUCACACCACAUGAACGCGAAAUCAAAGCGAAAUCUGGAAUAUCGUUUCCUGCAGAGAAAGAUUGCACCUCUACGGUAUUGGACCUACAACUAUACACAAACCGCUGAAUCUACAUGAUACAACACUGUUCAGAUCCUGCUUGAAAUACGUGACACUUUAUUUCCCUAGUAUGUACGUUGUAAUCAUUACGUGAUGUUAAUUCAUAAUGUUGUAUCUCUGUGUGCAUUUCCGUUAUAUACUAUUUAACAACUUGU